GUUUGUUCAAUGCUGUGUCCCUAGUGCCUAGAACAGUAUCUGGCACAUGCUCUUAUUCUAUGGCUGACCUUUCUGCCAGCAAGUUUUCCUUGUGUUUAAAAGCACUACGAUUGAAGCAUAAAAGACAAAUGGAAAGAUGAAAUACAGAAGCCCCACACUUACAAGCCCUUCCAUAUGCCAGGCUGCAUGGUUGGAAGGCGAUGUCUGCAGGCUUCUUCCAGGCUACCAGAAGAAAGCCUGAACUAAUUUCCUGGAGGGAAAACAAAGGCCCCACCUUGAACGAAUCCCAAGGCCAAGGGAAAUCCUUGCUUCCCGCAUUUCUACAGCUGCCCCACCUCCAAGUGUGGCUCAUACCCCCACCUGUGCACCCAGUACACCUGGCUGGAUUUCACGGUGGGAGGAUGACCUUUUUCCCUGAGUAUCAAUGUUUUGGGCUCUGAAAGAUUCUCAAAGUGUCCACCAAGAAGCCCUGUCUUAUAGACCUACUGCAGGCCUGCUCUGGAUAAACUUGUGAAUGAGAUGAAAUCCAGCUUCUUUUGGCCCAUUCAGUGAUCCUUUUCCCCAGCAUUUUGUCAACUGGCUGUUGACUGCAGUUUACCUUGCUAACUGAGACCAUAUUUCCAAAGGGAAAGUACAUUAAGACAUGAGGGAUCUGUGGAGCUUGGGUACAGUGGCUUAUGCUUGUAAUCCCAGCACUUUGGGAGGCCAAGGCAGGAGGAUCGCUUGAGGCCAGAAGUUUGAGACCAGCCUAGGCAAUAUAGGGAGACCCCAUCUCUAAAAAAAAAAAAAAAAAAAAAAAAUUAGCUAGCACACAACUGUAGUCCCAGCUACUCUGGAGGCUGAGGAAGGAGUAUAGCUUGAGGCCAGA
rnacentral:lncRNA from 1 species